UUUCUUCAUCGUUCGUAAAGAAAAAUACAUGAUUUUCCGAGAGGCAUCCUGCAGAGAGAGUAUUCACGUCCUAUAUAUAUAAGUAGGCAAGUGUCGCCAAGUUCUUCCAAGUUCCAACGCGAGCCGUGAGCAACUGACUAGUGCGAAACCGCGAACACAGAACAGGCGAGAUCGUCACUGCUAGCUAUGGGCAACAAGCCACCGCAACCGCCACCUGCAGAGCCAACGGCGCCACCAGCAGAGCCAGCGGCACCGCAUACAGAGCUGGCGGCGCCACCUGCAGAUCCAGCGCCACCACAAAAAACGCCGCCACCGCCACAACCACAACCUCAGCAACCAACGCAGCACCAGCAACUGCGGCAGAAAUCUAAAGAUGAUAUUUAUGUUGAUGAAAAAACAGGGGGCCUGAUUUUCAAAAUGGCAAGACCCGCAAACUAAAAGCCGCUCUAAAGGUGGGUGUCGCAUGACUCUGAAGAAACAAAUAUGUGAACACUUAAAUAUUUAUCCUGAGUAUAUGUCAUUCGUGUUGUGAUCAGUUAAAAUUAAAUAUUUAUCAGGAGUAUAUGUCAUUCGUGUAGUGGUGAAUUGAACCUACUACCUUCGUUGUAAUGAAUAAGGCAUAUUUAUUAGAAUGAAAGUAAUAUAGUAGGUUGUAUCUUUCCAUUCCUCUAUUCUAUUUGUACACGUACAUUAUAUUAAACUAGUCGAAUGUCCGUGCGUUGCUACGGCCUAUUUUCUAUUGUCA